CUGCAGCCCGAGUGGUAAUCGAUUUUAUUGAGCCUAAAGCGUCCGUAGCCGGACUAGUAAACCCUUGGGUAAAUUGGGCAGCUUAACUGUCCAAAUUCCGAGGGGACUGCUAGUCUUGGGACCGGGAGAGGUCAGAGGUACUCAAGGGGUAGGGGCUAAAUCCUGUAAUCCUUUGGGGACCACCAGUGGCGAAGGCGUCUGACUAGAACGGAUCCGACGGUAAGGGACGAAACCCUGGGGCGCGAACCGGAUUAGAUACCCGAGUAGUCC
rnacentral:rRNA from 1 species